GGGACAAACGCUGGCGGCGUACCUAAGACAUGCAAGUCGAACGGGCGCUUCACCUUCGGGUGGGUGUGCUAGUGGCGGACGGGUGAGUAGCGCGUAGGAACCUGUCAUCAAGAGGGGGGAUAACGCUGGGAAACCGGCGCUAAUACCGCAUGUGGUCAUGAAAAUGAAGAAAGCAGCAAUGCGCUUGAUGAGGGGCCUGCGUCCGAUUAGCUUGUUGGUGGGGUAAAGGCCUACCAAGGCAUCGAUCGGUAGCUGGUCUGAGAGGAUGGUCAGCCACACUGGGACUGAGACACGGCCCAGACUCCUACGGGAGGCAGCAGUUAGGAAAUUUUCCCAAUGGGCGCAAGCCUGAGGGAGUAACGCCGCGUGGAGGAUGACGGCUUUCGGGUUGUAAACUCCUUUUCUGUGGGAAGAGUAGAAGACGGUACCGCAGGAAUAAGCCUCGGCUAACUACGUGCCAGCAGCCGC
rnacentral:rRNA from 1 species